UUAAUUUCCUUGAUACAUUUAAAAUUUCACAUUUUACCUUCAUUUUUGGUAGUGUUUAAUCAUUUUAGUUCCUUUUCAAAAAUAUUUAAUAAUUUAAUUAUUAAAUUUCUUAAGAGAUAAAUCAUUUUAUGAAGCUUAAUUUGGGAAUACUGCAAUGGCUCUGAUUAGGCUACCUCCAUCUUGAGGAGUUUUGCAUUUGCCUCUGCCAAGUCCUUU
rnacentral:lncRNA from 1 species